CCUACGGGAGGCAGCAGUGAGGAAUAUUGGUCAAUGGGCGCAAGCCUGAACCAGCCAAGUCGCGUGAGGGAUGACGGCCCUACGGAUUGUAAACCUCUUUUGUCGGGGAGCAAAGCUCGGCACGUGUGGCGGGAAGGAGAGUACCCGAAGAAAAAGCAUCGGCUAACUCCGUGCCAGCAGCCGCGGUAAUACGGAGGAUGCGAGCGUUAUCCGGAUUUAUUGGGUUUAAGGGGGGCGUAGUGGGAAGGUUAGGUCAGCGGGAAAAUUUGGGUGCUCAACCCCAGACUGCCAUUGAAACUGGUCGUCUUGAGUGCACGUGAAGUAUGCGGAAUGCGUGGUGUAGCGGUGAAAUGCAUAGAUAUCACGCAGAACUCCGAUUGCGAAGGCAGCUUACCA
rnacentral:rRNA from 1 species